GUCUUUUUGUAUAUAAUAAAAAGUCUAAUCUGCCCAUUGAAAAGUUUUAAAAGGCCGCAGUAUUUUGACUGUGCAAAGGUAGCAUAAUCAAUAGUUUUUUAAUUGAAAGCUGGAAUGAAUGAUUGAAUGAAAUUUUUACUGUCUUAUUUGAAUUGUUGUAGAAUUUAAUUUUUAAGUUAAAAAGCUUAAAUUUAAUUAGAGGACGAGAAGACCCUUUAAAGCUUAAUAUUUAGUUUUAAUAUAAAAUUUAAAGAAAAAUAUUUUUGUUUAAAAUAAUAUAUUUUAUUGGGGUGAUAGGAAAAUUUGUUUAACUUUUUUUAAAAAUAAACAUGAAUUAAUGAAUAAUUGAUCCAUUAAUAAUGAUUAAAAGAUCAAGUUACUUAAGGGAUAACAGCGUAAUAUUUUUAAAGAGAACUUAUCGAUAAAAAAGUUUGCGACCUCGAUGUUGGAUUAAGAUUAUUUUUUGGUGUAGAAGUUAAAAAAUUUAGUCUGUUCGACUAUUUAUUCUUA
rnacentral:rRNA from 1 species